rnacentral:rRNA from 1 species
AAACAUGAGAGUUUGAUUCUGGCUCAGGACGAACGCUGGCGGCGUGCUUAAGACAUGCAAGUCGAACGGAUGUAGAAAUACAUUAGUGGCGGACUGGUGAGUAACGUGUGAGCAAUCUGCCUCUAACUGGGGGAUAACACUUAGAAAUAGGUGCUAAUACCGCAUAAGACCACAUGAAGGCAUCUUCGAGGGGUCAAAGAUUUUAUCGGUUAGAGAUGAGCUCGCAUCCCAUUAGCUUGUUGGUGAGGUAACGGCCCACCAAGGCGACGAUGGGUAGCCGACCUGAGAGGGUGAUCGGCCACACUGGGACUGAGAUACGGCCCAGACUCCUACGGGAGGCAGCAGUCGGGAAUAUUGGGCAAUGGAGGCAACUCUGACCCAGCAACGCCGCGUGAAGGAAUAGAAGGUCUUCGGAUUGUAAACUUCUGUCGCGAGGGACGAAGAAUGACGGUACCUCGUAAGAAAGCCCCGGCUAACUACGUGCCAGCAGCCGCGGUAAUACGUAGGGGGCAAGCGUUGUCCGGAAUGACUGGGCGUAAAGGGAGUGUAGGUGGCAUAAUAAGUUAUAUGUGAAAGCCCGCAGCUUAACUGCGGAACUGCAUAUAAAACUGUUAGGCUGGAGUGCAGGAGAGGUAAGCGGAAUUCCUAGUGUAGCGGUGGAAUGCGUAGAUAUUAGGAAGAACACCAGAGGCGAAGGCGGCUUACUGGACUGCAACUGACGCUGAGGCUCGAAAGCGUGGGGAGCAA